CUAUAUAAAAGGCUAAGCAUCCGACCAUCUGACCGGUAGCUAUAACGUGCAGUGACUACCAGGGGGAAGAUGCUCCAACUGUAACUAUGAUGCACAAUGACCACCAGGAGGCAGACGCUCAACACAGGAGCUGCCAAGCUUUGGUGAUUGGCAGCGGUGGUUCUCCGGGAAUCAGAGAGGAGGGAGCCCAAUUCCAUCACCCUAGAACCGCCCUCUCACAAUCCAGGGCCCCUCUGGGAAUGUCGGAGAGGCAGUUUUGGUCCAAUCCCUGCAGGCCAAAUCCAGACAGGUGGGAGCCCAAUCCUGUGUACUGAGCAUCUGUCUCCUGGUGGUCAGUGUGCAUUAUAGCAACCAGUCAACCGGUUGUUUGGUCACUUAGGCUUUUAUAUAUAUAG